AAGCCCUUUUAUUAAUGAUUGAGAUGUUGCGAUAUUUUCCUCAGGCACUAAUAAAGGGUUUAUU
ensembl:miRNA mdo-mir-7373f mdo-mir-7373f